ACCAAGUUUCAGGCAUUUAAGUUUACUUUGUUUGUUCUCUUGAUUCAUGUCCACGUACUGCUUCAUCUGGUAAUUGUUUUCUCUUCUUGUUUAACUAGUAGAUAUUACUUUGGAGAUGAGAAAUUUCUGAGGCUAAUUAAACGAAACAAGUGUGGAUGCUUAGGCGAGUGAUUCAACAAACUAUAUAUAUUUAUAUAUACAAACACUAAAAGGAAAUAUAAGAGUAGAUAAUAUAUGUGCUUAACAUU
rnacentral:lncRNA from 1 species